ACGCUCGACACCUACGGGAAGCAGCAGUGGGGAAUAUUGCACAAUGGGGGAAACCCUGAUGCAGCGACGCCGCGUGGAGGAAGAAGGUCUUCGGAUUGUAAACUCCUGUUGUUGGGGAAAAAGAGGAUGGUACCCAACAAGGAAGUGACGGCUAACUACGUGCCAACAGCCGCGGUAAUCUGAGCGGGCUGGCAAGGC
rnacentral:rRNA from 1 species